UACGUAGGGUGCGAGCGUUAAUCGGAAUUACUGGGCGUAAAGCGUGCGCAGGCGGUUUUGUAAGCCAGGUGUGAAAUCCCCGGGCUCAACCUGGGAAUGGCAUUUGGGACUGCAAGGCUGGAGUGCGGCAGAGGAGACUGGAAUUCCUGGUGUAGCAGUGAAAUGCGUAGAUAUCGGAAGGAACACCGGUGGCGAAGGCGGCCACCUGGACGGUAACUGACGCUGAGACGCGAAAGCGUGGGGAGCAAACAGG
rnacentral:rRNA from 1 species